ACCUACGGGGCGCAGCAGUGGGGAAUAUUGCACAAUGGGGGAAACCCUGAUGCAGCGACGCCGCGUGAGUGAAGAAGUAUUUCGGUAUGUAAAGCUCUAUCAGCAGGGAAGAAAAUGACGGUACCUGACUAAGAAGCCCCGGCUAACUACGUGCCAGCAGCCGCGGUAAUACGUAGGGGGCAAGCGUUAUCCGGAUUUACUGGGUGUAAAGGGAGCGUAGACGGCUGAGCAAGUCUGAAGUGAAAGGCGGGGGCCCAACCCCCGGACUGCUUUGGAAACUGUAUAGCUAGAGUGCAGGAGAGGGA
rnacentral:rRNA from 1 species